GCAUACAUAGCUUAAUGGUACAGAGCGCUCAGCCGGAAUUGAGAAGUGCUAGGUUCGAUUCCCUGUGGAGGCU
rnacentral:tRNA from 1 species